UUAAAAUUUUAUUCUUGUUUAUGAAUUCGUUUUUUGAAUGAUUUAUAUGUAAAUUUAAGUGUGAAUGGGUAUAUAUCUUGAAGGUAUAUGGAUUAUAGGUUUAUUCGCAGUAUUAAGUUUUAAUAUAUUAGGGCAAUCUAGAAUUAUUAAUUUAAAUUUAUAUUGGCUAAAAGCGUGCCAGCUGCCGCGGUUAUACGUGGAAUAUUAAUGAAUUAUUUUAGUGUAAAGUUAAUUUGUUUUUAAUUAAGUAUUAAUUUUUUUUUGAAGGUGAAAUUUAAUAAAUUGAAUAAGCUUAUAAUACUUAAAAUGAGGCUUUGAAAUUUUAAUUUAGACUAGGAUUAGAUACCCUAUUAUAUGAAAAGUAAAUAUAUUAAAACUUGAGUAGUAUUAGUUAAGUUCUUGAAACUCAAAGAAUUUGGCGGUGCUUUAGUCUAGUCAGAGGAAUUUGUCCUGUAAUUGAUGAUACGCACUUUAGUUUACUUAAUUUUGUUAUUUCAGUUUGUAUACCGCCGUCAUAAGAAUAUUCUAGGAGGAGUAAAUUUUCUUAAUUUUAUUUAAAGGAGUAUGUCAGGUCAAGGUGCAGCUUAUAGUUAAGUGGGAGAUGAAUUACAAUAAAUUUAUUUAGGACGGAUGAUAUUUUGGAAUAAAUAUUUGAAGGUGGAUUUGAAGGUAAUAUUGUUUUAUUAUAAUAGUGUGAUCUUUUGCUCUGAAGCAUGUACACAUCGCCCGUCGCUCUCGUUAUAAGAUGAGAUAAGUCGUAACAAAGUAGGUGUACUGGAAAGUGUACCUAGUAAGAU
rnacentral:ncRNA from 1 species